rnacentral:rRNA from 1 species
UGGGCCGCAGCUAAAGUAUGCCUGGCGACUGUUUAUCAAAAACACAGCUCCCUGCGAACUCGAAAGAGGAUGUAUAGGGGGUGACACUUGACCAAUGCCAGAAGGUCAAAUAACGGCGGUACGUAUCACAUGGAAUGUGAAUUAAGUUCAUAAAGUUCAUAAAGUUGCAAGUUUAUAAAGUAAGACCGAUGCCGGAUUUUAGAGGCUCGUUUGUCUUACUUGAUGAACUUUAUAACUUUUUACUUUAUAAACUGAUUUCGCGUCUCAUGUGAUGCGUGCUGACUGUUAUAAGCCCUGGUGAAUGUCGGCAAUAACUAUAAUUGUCCUAAGGUCACAUACCUCUUGAUUUAUCAAGGGAUAUGUGAGGAUUGGGACAAUUAUGUUAGGAGAAAUGAUAAACAACAAAUUACACGAAACACUGCCUCGUUAUACAGUAAUGUAUAAUCGAUCCUAAAAAAUACAUGACUAUAUGUUUCCGAUUUGUCUGCGAGCGUAGCGAGUGGCUACAAAUCGCAAUCCCGCCGGUUGUGAAAUCGGUUGGAAUAUGAAUUGGGAAUCUCGUCGGUGUAAACCGGCGGGACUGGGAAGUCCCUAAUGAAAUCAAGGGAUGAUCAGCAGGAAACUACAAUAUGAAGGAAAGGUGAUUGAGUAGACACUGAGUUACUAAACACUUCAGUAGCCCCUUCCUUCAGAUACUGUAGGAUCCCCAGAGACCAUACGUCAUGCCCCUAAACUCCGCGGGGAGUUGGGUGAAGAUAUGGUCCCGAGUAGAAAGGAACUUGAAGCGAAAUUCCUUGUCGGGUAAGUUCCGACGCGCACGAAUAGUGUAACGACUGGGCAACUGUCUCGGAGACUCGCUCGGUGAAAAUACAAUACCGGUGAAGAUGCCGGUUACCUGCAGUUAGACGAAAAGACCCCGGAAGCUUUACUGUAACUUGAUAUUGACCGUAUGUAUCACUUGCGUAGCAUAGGUGGGAGGCUUUGAAGUGUUCCUUUUGGGGAAUAUGGAGCCGUCAGUGAAAUACCACUCUAGUGUUAUAUACGUUCUAACCUCGCGCGCAAAACGCGCGAGAGACAGUAUCUGGUGGACAGUUUUAGUGGGGCGCUAUCCUCCUAAAGAGUAACGGAGGAGUUCAUUAAGGUCGGCUUGGCGCGGAUGGAAACCGUGCCUGACGUGUAAUGGCAAAAGCCGGCUUGAUUGUGAGGCGUAAGUGCCAAACAAGUGCGAAAGCAGGACAUAGUGAACCGUCGGUCCGCAUUAGACGCGGCCAAAGAUUAUCUGAUAAAAGCUACUCCGGGGAUAACAGGCUGGUUGUGCCUAAGAGUCCAUAUCGACGGCACAGUUCGGCACCUCGAUUAACAAGAGCCAGAUGUCGAGGAUAAAUCAGCUCAUAACGGUGGAGGCCAUGAUAUAAUUAUGGUUAAUACCGUGGGAAGCUACGAAAAUAAAAAAUGGCAGAAGAAAUGGAUUCCAAUUAAGCGGGCUUUGAAGCUCUCUAAUUUUCAACGUUCUUUUAUCAUAGGGUCUUUACUAGGAGAUGGAACAAUGAGAAUAGGAGAGAGAGCAGUUCAUGCUAACUUUAAAGUGGAGCAUGGACUGGAACAAAAAGAGCUUGUAUUUUGGAAAUACGAAAUACUAAAACCGUUUGUUUUUACCGAGCCGAAAAUAAGUUUUCGGUACCGUGAGAACGGCGAGAGAUAUGAGAAAUCAUGGUGGUUUCGUACCAUUCGCCAUCCCGAUCUGACCAAAAUUUAUCGCGUCUUUUACAAAGGCGACGGAUACAGAUGCGGGCAUAAGACUGUUCCAAAAAAUAUCGAGACACUUUUAGAUCCAUUCACUCUAGCGGUAUGGAUCAUGGAUGACGGUUCUUUCUCAAGACGAAAGAUAGAUAUCAGCACAUAUUCUUUUGAAUUUUCAGAAAUUAAAUUGCUUCAGCAAGCAAUGAAGAACCGGUUCGAUAUUAAUAUGCAGUUUUAUAAAGAUCGCAAUAAAGGUUUCAGAAUGUAUUGUUCAGUCCAGGAAACCGAAAAAUUUAUUGCGCUUAUCUCCCAGUAUGUCAUUCCUUCAAUGGCAUAUAAGAUAAAUUUUCGAAGCCCCGUAACGACUUCUCCGAAUUGUAAACGGAGAGAGUUAUCUGUCACAAGAUAGCUAACACGCUGGUGUUCCUUUAGGGUAAAGGAACAAAGGUAUAGUCUGAUCUUUCUAGUAAUAGAAAGUUAACAUAAACAAUGGUCGGCUCACCACAUCCCGGGGGCGGAGAAGCUCCCAAGGGUAUAGCUGUUCGCUAUUUAAAGUGGUACGCGAGCUGGGUUCAGACCGUCGAAAAGCGGAGCUUUUCGACAAGUAAAAAGUUGAAAGUCCAAAGUUGAAAGUUUGGCUAAUCGACAGUCUGAAUCCGCUCAUAAAAUGACAAAAUCGGAUUUUUCGUCUAUGAAAUAAUGAUAGUGUUCCGCUCUCGCUGAAGCGUUUGAGCGGACGAGCAAUCAACUUACGGCGGCCUAAAGUAGAUUCAAGAAUUAUGAAUUAUGAUUUAAGAAUAAUACUUUAGGAUAAGCUGACUAUAUCGGUAGAAUCCCAGGGAAGCGGAUUAUCGCGGAUAAAAACGCAGAUGAACGCUGAUUGGGACAAUACCGAGGGAAGAUUUGUGUACUAAAUAGUGGGAAACAGGACAAUGAAUAAAUUCCUUCUGGAACUGCGUGCGUUCGGAUACGUUCGGCCGUACACCCUUAAAUGGGAAGCAUCCAGAUGUUCCGACUUGAAUUUAUUUAGGCAUGAGUGCUGGUGCCAUGCUGUCUUGAUCGUUCAUCGACCCACUAAGGAGGAAUCACCACCCUGCGCAGUAUAUUCCUCCUUCCUACUAUUUAGUACAUGAAUCGCCCGUAGAGACUAAACGUCAGCCACCCUAAACAGCAUGUGUUCGGGUGAAGCUAUAGUCCGAUCCUCUGAAGUAAUUCAGAGAGACAGGCAGAAAUGUCCUGUCCGCGUUUCAGAUUCGGGUAUGAUUCGGGAUCGUCUUGAUUCGAGUCAAUUCGGAUUUGUUUACGGAGUAACAAGAUGCGUAAGACAGGUUGGUCUCCUAUCUACUGCAGGCGUUGAUUCUUGAAGGGAGUCAUCCCUAGUACGAGAGGACCGGGAUGAACUGACCUCUGGUCUACCUGCUGUUCCCGCCAGGGGCAACGCAGGGUAGCUAUGUUGGGAGUGGAUAACUUCUGAAAGCAUCUAAGAAGGAAGCCAACCCUAAGAUUAGGAAUCGAGCGUGCGAAGCACGCAGUUCAUCAAGUUGAAAGUUCAUAAAGUUGUAAAGUUUAUAAAGUAAAAACAAAAUUUUCUGUUCUUACUUGAUAAACUUGAUAAACUUUUUACUUUACAAACUUGUGAUUUGCGCGCUUCGCGCGUGAAGGCCCGUGGCAGAUGACCACGUUGAUAGGCACCAGGUGUAAGCGUCGUAAGGCGUUCAGCCGAGGUGUACUAAUUCGCCGAUUCUAUUAGGAAA